rnacentral:rRNA from 1 species
UAUCUCUGUAGAGUCUGCAUAUCAAUAAGCGGAGGAAAAGAAACUAACUAGGAUUCCCUCAGUAACGGCGAGUGAAGCGGGAAGAGCUCAAAUUUGAAAUCUUCAAGGUUUUACCUUGACGAAUUGUAGUUUAAAGAAGUGUUUUCUGUUGGAGUUUUGGUAAAAGUUCUUUGGAAUAGGACAGUCAUAGAGGGUGAGAAUCCCGUAUUUGACCAUUAUUUCCAGCUUUGUGAUACACUUUCAAAGAGUCGGAUUGUUUGGGAAUGCAGUCCAAAAUGGGUGGUAAAUUUCAUCUAAAGCUAAAUAUUGGCGAGAGACCGAUAGCGAACAAGUACCGUGAGGGAAAGAUGAAAAGAACUUUGAAAAGAGAGUUAAACAGUACGUGAAAUUGUCAAAAGGGAAGCGUUUGACACCAGUGUUGUUUCUACGAAAAUCAAUUAAAUGAUGGCUUGAUGCUAGCUUGUAUGACUUUAUCCGCUUGUUGUUUAGUUUUCUUGUCUUUGUGAAUGCACUUUUCGUGGAACAAGUCAACAUCAAUUUCUUUUGCUGUAAAAGGGUAAGAGGAAGGUGGCUUCGGCUUCGGUUGAAGUGUUUAUAGCCUUUUAUCUCUGCAGUCGGAGAGAUUGAGGUCUGCAGCGUAGACUCUUCGGGGUUAGAUACGUCGGUGCUAAGCUAUAGCUUUUCAUAGACAACUUGUUGACUAUGUUUAGUCAUGUGGCUUACCCGCUGGCGCUAUUUUACCUACGCUUAGGAUGUUGAGUCAUCACACAUCUCU